AUUUGGUAGCUGUACAUCGGAAUUUUUUAAAAUGUAUGCUAAAGGUCAUACGAUUCCAUCCUUCAUUCUUUUUUGUAAACUUAUCGAUUUUUAAAAAAAGAAAAAAAAAAAUCAUCAAAGUUUGUUUGGUCUUUACAGGUACUCCGACUCUUGGACAGUCUUCAUAUAAACUUUCUGUUGUGGAAACUGCAGAGUUAAUACUGUGGCUCGCGUCCUCUGUGCUGACCUCAUGGUGUAACCACGAGUAAAGAUGAGCAUAAGCAGUGAUGAGGUCAACUUCCUCGUUUACAGAUACCUGCAGGAGUCUGGCUUCUCCCAUUCAGCGUUCACGUUUGGUAUAGAGAGCCACAUCAGCCAGUCGAACAUCAACGGCGCCCUGGUGCCCCCUGCUGCUCUCAUCUCCAUCAUACAGAAGGGCCUGCAGUACGUGGAGGCAGAAGUCAGCAUCAACGAGGAUGGCACCCUGUUUGACGGCCGGCCGAUCGAAUCGCUCUCGCUUAUUGAUGCAGUGAUGCCCGACGUGGUGCAGACGCGACAGCAGGCCUACCGGGAUAAGCUGGCCCAGCAACAGGCCGCUGCAGCACCCCCUGCUGCCACCAGCUUGCAGGGCAGCGCUAAGAAUGGCGAGAGCACCACCAACGGCGAGGAGAAUGGGGCUCACACCUUAGCAAACAACCAUGCCGACAUGAUGGAGGUGGAUGGUGAUGUGGAGAUCCCGCAGAACAAAGCCAUGGUGCUACGUGGCCACGAGUCAGAGGUUUUCAUCUGCGCCUGGAAUCCUGUCAGUGACCUCCUCGCCUCUGGGUCCGGGGACUCGACGGCUCGCAUCUGGAACCUGAGCGAGAACAGUAGCAGCGGCUCCACGCAGCUCGUGCUGCGGCACUGCAUACGAGAAGGAGGGCAGGAUGUGCCGAGCAACAAGGACGUCACGUCACUAGACUGGAAUAGUGAAGGCACACUACUAGCAACUGGCUCUUAUGAUGGAUUUGCAAGAAUAUGGACGAAAGAUGGUAAUCUUGCCAGUACCUUGGGUCAGCACAAGGGUCCUAUUUUUGCCUUGAAGUGGAAUAAAAAAGGAAAUUUCAUUCUCAGUGCUGGUGUUGAUAAGACCACAAUCAUUUGGGAUGCUCACACCGGAGAAGCAAAGCAACAGUUUCCCUUUCAUUCAGCUCCUGCACUGGAUGUGGACUGGCAAAGUAACAACACGUUUGCUUCGUGCAGCACUGAUAUGUGUAUCCACGUGUGUAAACUUGGCCAGGACAGACCCAUCAAGACAUUCCAGGGGCACACAAAUGAAGUGAAUGCAAUCAAGUGGGAUCCGACUGGCAAUCUACUGGCAUCCUGUUCGGAUGACAUGACCCUGAAGAUCUGGAGUAUGAAACAAGACACCUGUGUUCAUGAUUUGCAAGCGCACAGCAAAGAAAUUUAUACUAUUAAAUGGAGUCCCACUGGGCCUGGAACCAACAACCCUAAUGCCAACCUUAUGCUUGCCAGUGCGUCCUUCGACUCGACUGUUCGACUGUGGGAUGUCGACCGAGGGAUCUGCAUCCACACAUUGACCAAACAUCAGGAACCCGUGUACAGUGUUGCCUUCAGCCCAGACGGCAGAUACUUGGCCAGUGGCUCCUUUGACAAGUGUGUCCAUAUCUGGAACACGCAGACUGGUUCUUUAGUUCAUAGCUACAGGGGAACAGGAGGCAUCUUUGAGGUUUGUUGGAAUGCCACAGGGGACAAAGUGGGCGCAAGUGCAUCAGACGGAUCGGUGUGUGUAUUAGACCUGCGGAAAUAACACUGCUUGUUGGAAGCCAUGGACCGACUAUGAAUGUGUACAUAGCCAAAAUUGACUGUCCCUGCCUCGUUUACUGCUGCGGUCCCAUCGGAACCAUGGCCGACCACUACAGCCAAAACAAGCAGAAUGAAGAAGAGAAGAGGGCGCGCUCCUACCCUGUUGUCCACGCUGGGGACACCACCCACUGACGCAAAACCGAUGUUAUGUGUCGACUUGGAAACGGAGGAAUAAGGACCCGUAUACAUGUACCAAAAUCUGAAAGAUUUCUUUUGGUUAGCCAAACCAAGGAUUUUUAUUCUUUAUUGGUAGAUCACUAUGUGUGUGACAUAUCUGCUUCACAUGUGGCAGGAGGAUUUUUUCCUUUCUAAACGUUUUUUUUUUUUUUUUUUUUUUUUUUUUUUAAUUUUAAUUUGAAUUUUUUUGUUUAGGUUACAGCUGCAUGAAAUGGCGGAGUCGAAUCGGCUUCCUCCACUUCUUCUGGAGAGAAUGCAGUUUUAAAAUGUCUUUGGCACUGUACGUAAUAUGGUUCAAACACGUGGGGCUGCUGUUUUUUUAUUUUAUUUUAAUUUUUAAUUUUCCUUUCUCUACUUUUGACUAUGGUUUUACUGUUGACAUACAGGUGCAGCAGAUUUUUUUAAGGGGAUAUUUAUUCUGCGGAAUAUAAAGGAAUACUAAAAAUAAGGUGGGCACAAAAAUUUGAGAAGAUGCAUUAUGCAUCAUUUUGCUUUAAAACCAUAAUUAUGGUUAGAUUGUGCACUAUUGAUAAAGCAACAUAAAAAUGUUCAUUCAUAGAACAUUCUGGACAAAGGAUGACUGCUGUAAGUGUAUUCAGGAAUCUCCCUUCAUUAGUAUAUUGCAGAUAACUUGUUGGUUCACAACAAAAUUAGACUUCAGUAUUAAUCACUGAUGAGGUGUAGCCUAUACGAAAUGUGCAUGGCACAGUUUAUUAAAAACGAACAUUAGAUAGACUAACAUCUACAAUAUAUCACUAGAAAAGGGAAGACUUGCUUUUUUUGAUAAACUUGUAAACUUGAACUUUUCCAGUUAAUGUUUCAUAGUUUUUCAUAUUUAGUUUUUUGACAGAAAUGCAGUAGUGCAGCAUCAAAUGUUGUUUUAAAUAUUAAAAGCUUAAAGCCAGUCUGGGUGCUGGGCAGGUGGAAGAAACUGCAGAGAGUGAUAUGGAACAAGCAUUGUAACCACAUCGAAACCUUAUUCACAGGACAUUGUUUUAUAUAUUACUCAUAAAUAAGGGUAGUUUUAUAGUGUAUUAUUUUGUGCCGUUUAAAACACAAUUGCCAGUGUGUGGAAAUUACACAUUACGUGGAAUGUUUUUACCAGACAGUGGUUCUCUCAGUUGUUGCUUCAGAAAAUCCAAUAAGAUUCUCCUAAAGAGGAUCAUUCUUUUGUCUUCUGUCUCACAUGUCUUUUGGCGGCUGAAACUAUUUUUUUUUUUUUUUUUUUUUAAAUAAAUUGUCCCCAGGAUUUGGCUGUUUAAAAUAU
ensembl:lncRNA